UACGUAGGGUGCGAGCGUUAAUCGGAAUUACUGGGCGUAAAGCGUGCGCAGGCGGUUCGUUAAGUCAGAUGUGAAAGCCCCGGGCUCAACCUGGGAACUGCAUUUGAAACUGGCGGGCUUGAGUGUGGCAGAGGGGGGUGGAAUUCCGCGUGUAGCAGUGAAAUGCGUAGAGAUGCGGAGGAACACCGAUGGCGAAGGCAGCCCCCCUGGGCCAACACUGACGCUCAGGCACGAAGGCGUGGGGAGCAAACAGG
rnacentral:rRNA from 1 species